UNGANGCUGGCGGCGGCCUAAACAUGCAAGUCGAGCGGUAACAGANAGUAGCUUGCUACUUUGCUGACGAGCGGCGGACGGGUGAGUAAUGCUUGGGAACAUGCCUUGAGGUGGGGGACAACAGUUGGAAACGACUGCUAAUACCGCAUAAUGUCUACGGACCAAAGGGGGCUUCGGCUCUCGCCUUUAGAUUGGCCCAAGUGGGAUUAGCUAGUUGGUGAGGUAAUGGCUCACCAAGGCGACGAUCCCUAGCUGGUUUGAGAGGAUGAUCAGCCACACUGGGACUGAGACACGGCCCAGACUCCUACGGGAGGCAGCAGUGGGGAAUAUUGCACAAUGGGCGCAAGCCUGAUGCANCCNUGCCGCGUGUGUNAAAAAGGCCUUCNGNUUGNAAAGCACUUU
rnacentral:rRNA from 1 species